UACGUAGGGCGCAAGCGUUGUCCGGAAUUAUUGGGCGUAAAGAGCUCGUAGGCGGUCUGUUGCGUCCGCUGUGAAAACUCGGGGCUUAACCCCGAGCCUGCAGUGGAUACGGGCAGACUAGAGGUAGGUAGGGGAGAAUGGAAUUCCCGGUGUAGCGGUGAAAUGCGCAGAUAUCAGGAGGAAUACCGAUGGCGAAGGCAGGUCUCUGGGCUGACACUGACGCUCAUGCACGAAAGCGUGGGGAGCAAACAGG
rnacentral:rRNA from 1 species